AGUGAACGCUGGCGGUAGGCCUAACACAUGCAAGUCGAACGGCAGCACAGUAAGAGCUUGCUCUUACGGGUGGCGAGUGGCGGACGGGUGAGGAAUACAUCGGAAUCUACUUUUUCGUGGGGGAUAACGUAGGGAAACUUACGCUAAUACCGCAUACGACCUACGGGUGAAAGCAGGGAAUCUUCGGACCUUGCGCGAUUGAAUGAGCCGAUGUCGGAUUAGCUAGUUGGCGGGGUAAAGGCCCACCAAGGCGACGAUCCGUAGCUGGUCUGAGAGGAUGAUCAGCCACACUGGAACUGAGACACGGUCCAGACUCCUACGGGAGGCAGCAGUGGGGAAUAUUGGACAAUGGGCGCAAGCCUGAUCCAGCCAUACCGCGUGGGUGAAGGAGGCCUUCGGGUUGUAAAGCCCUUUUGUUGGGAAAGAAAAGCAGCAGGUUAAUACCCCGCUGUUCUGACGGUACCCAAAGAAUAAGCACCGGCUAACUUCGUG
rnacentral:rRNA from 1 species